UAGAGUCGGAAAAUUCCGUCCAUAUUCCGUAAUUAGAUGCUUGUACAGAACUCUGAGUUCCAUUCACAUAACAGAUCAGAUUGACCAGAUGGACAAGAGACGUCAUUCUGCUCUUCUUGUCUUAUAUCCCACCCUCCCCUUGCUCCACGGCGCCCCAUAUAUCGAAAUCUUUGAGGGAUUCGAAGCUCCUCCGAUCCUCCGACGGCAAUUUUCUCCAGUAAGCCUUAUUGAUUCGGCCUUCUCGAUGCAAUUGUAUGUUUCAUCAUCAAAACCCUAGCUUUGUGUCAACUCCGUAUAUAGAUGCAUAUUUCUCCGCACAGACCUGGAUGUAUGAUAGGACCCACCCUAGCCACGGGGGCCUCAGACCGGAGUUCAUUAAAGGGGUUGACAUAUUUAUACGACAUGCUUUCAAAUUGGAUCUAUUUAAGAUGGUAGAAUCGGAUGUCCUUGCGUAAAAUGCCAAAGGCGAGGGAAAAUCUUAUCAGAGAAAGACGUGAAGUUGCAUUUGCUGAGGUGAGGGUUCAAACCUAAUUACUGGUAUUGGACAGAUCACUGGGAGAAGGUUGAAGCUCAAGCCAAAACUGCACAAUAGGAUUUUCUGGAUCCACCGCAACUGGUUGAAGAUAUGAUACAUGAUGCAGCUAUGCAAGAAUUUGGGUAUCAAUCUGAGCAGAAUGGCGGUGCAAUUUCUACAAACGAGGAUGAGCACACCAAUGACAACGACGAAGAAGAGGAUCCCAAUGAUGAUGCUCACCGGUUUUAUGAAUUGCUUAACAAGUACAACAAGCCGUUGUAUCCAAGACGCUCUCAUUCUGCAUUGCCUAUUGCAGUGCGAAUAAUGAGAAUUAAGAGUGACUAGAAUUUGCCCCAUGAUA